rnacentral:lncRNA from 1 species
CUCUCUUUUUUUUUUUUUCAGAGUAGAAAUUAGAAGUUUAUUAAAGGACAGCAGAAAAGACUUCUCCCGGAGGAUGAAGGGGACCCAAGAGGUGGAAUCCGUGGAAGUGCGGUUGUCUCCCCUUUUUAUAGUUUUGGUGAUGGAAUGUAAGGGGGAAGGGUUGGGACACAGGUGAGCCAAACAAGUAAUCUGGGCAGGAAGGACUUCAUUAUCACUUCUUUGGGAUGGGCUAUCUCCAAAUCUGUUGGGGGCUGUUUCCUGGGUUCCAUUAACAUUCCUUUGGGAUGGACUUUGGGCCUAGGGGCUAAGGUUUAUCUCAAUAGGAAAAAUUAGAAGAGAAUGACAAAGUUGAAUAUUUAUGCCACUCAUUAGGGUUAUAGAAGAUCCCAAAUUGUACAGAAUCAACUUAAUCAAUUAGUAAAAUGGUUUAGAUGCAACAGGGAAAUGUGAUGGGUAGUAAAAUAACUUCUAGAUAAAGACAGGUUAACUCAACCUCAAUUCUGCUACAUACUAGCUGUGCCAUUUUGGACAAAUUACUUAAGCACUCUGGGUUUCAGGCUGACUCAUCUAUAAGCUGGAGAUUAAAUAAUAGCACUUCAUAUAGCAUCCUGGGAGAAUGAAAAGCAAUGUGUUCAAAGUACUAAAUUUGGAAUCUGGCACAUGGUGUGCUUGUGGUGAAUAUUAAUUAUCAUUGUUUUUAAUAAAUAUUUACAUUGUGCUUGCUACAUGCUAGGCACUGUUUUAACUUAGCAAAAAGUUAUGUGCUAAGCACUAUUUUAAAAUUGUACAGAUAUUAAUCCAUUUGAUCCUCAUAACAGUCCUGUGAGACAGGUACUAUCAUUAUCAUCAUUAUUAUCAUCAUCAUCAUCUCUCAUAGACAAGGAAAUUGAAGUCCAGAGAUUAAGUAAUUUAGGACAACACAGGCAGUAAGAGCCAGUAAUUCAAAUUCAAACAAUCCACUUCCACCAACUGUGAUUCCCACACACCCUAUAUGGCAUUGGGAUUGAACCCAGGGACACUGAGUCACUGAGCUACAGCAGCAGGCUUUUUUAUUCUGAAACAGAGCCUCUCUAAAAUGCACAGUCUGACCUCAAACUCAGCCUCCAUAGUAGUUGGAAUGACAGGCAAGCAACUCUGUGCCUGGCCAGAGACCAUGCUGUUGACUAAAUCAGGCUUCAUCAUCAUCCUUGCUGCUGCCAUCAUCAUCAUCAUCAUCAUCACCACCACCAUCCUCUUGAACCAGAAAAUGAAGGUGAUGCAUGAGGAAUUAAUUUGUAUGUGUUAAUUGAUUAUUAAAGUUUUAUCUACACAACAAAUGGUUUCAUAAAAUGUGUACAUCACUCAUGUAAACUGAAUUAUAUUUUAAGUAAAAAUUUGGACUUGGAGAUAAAAAUAUACUUUUGGAAUCAUUUGGAUGGUUAGCAGGACUGUUAGGUCAAAAAAGAAAAGAAAAACAAAAAACCCUGGGUCUCAGAGUCAGUGUAUGUUUCUCUUCUCUCCUCUCUCCUCUUCUCUUCUCUCUCUCUCUCUCUCUCUCUCUCUCUGAACUGAGGAUUUAAUCCAGUGGUGCUUACCACUGGAUUUUAUCCCUAUCUCUUUUUAUGUUUUAUUUUGAGUCAAGGUCUCAUUUAGUUGCUUUGGGCCUCACUAAAUUGCUGAGGCUGGCCUGGAAUUUUUGAUCCUCUUGUCUCAGCCUUCCAAGUCACUGGGAUUAAAAGCAUACACCAUGUGCCCAGCUAAAUUUGCCUAGCUUUCUCCUCCUCUUCUUAUAGGAUUGCUACAAAAAACAUUCCAUUAAUA